rnacentral:rRNA from 1 species
AUGGCGGAGAGGGGAGGAAGCGGCGAGGGGUCGUCGUCGUCGCCGGGGAAGAAGGCGAGGAAGCCCUACACCAUCACCCGGCCCAGGGAGCGGUGGUGCCCCGAGGAGCACGAGCGCUUCCUCGACGCCCUCCUCAGGUUCGGCCGCGACUGGAAGAAGAUCGAGGAGCACGUCCGCACCAAGACCGCGGUGCAGAUACGCAGCCACGCCCAGAAGUACUUCCUCAAGGUCCAGAGGCUGGGCCUGGCCGCCGGGCUGCCGCCGCCGCAGCACCCGAGCCGCAGGCUCGCCCUGUCGCGGCAGCAGACCUCGCCGGCCGACGGGACGGCAGUGCUGCACGGACAGCCGCAGCAUUAUCCGACCGGCGCUGUUCAGGAUUCCAUCGGCUGGAGCUUUCCGGGACCAGGAAACCUUCCAGCAUCCAGUGACAUGCAGAACUUGGACUGGGCGGGCAGUUCAGGCACUUCAGCCUGGGUGAGCCAUGGAGGUGCAGGGAGCCAGACCGAACCAUCUGCAUCAACACAUCCAGGUGGCAGCUCAUUCAUGGGGACGCCGAGCUUCGAUGACACGGGCAUGGACUGGACUGGCACGGGCAGCACAGGCGAAGCGUCGGCCAUCGCCGAUGCAGAGGACGAGACGAUUCCGCUCCCAUUGUCGCCAGACGACAUGCAUUUCGCGCGGGUAUACCGGUUCAUCGGCGACAUAUUCGACCCGGCCACGCCGUGCCGCAUCGAGGCCCACCUGCAGAAACUCAAGGACAUGGAUGGCAUCACAGUCAAGACGAUCCUGCUGGUGCUAAGGAACCUCGAGACGAACCUGACAGCGCCUCAGUUUGAGCCCAUCGUGAGUGAUCUACUCUGA